AAGAGCUUAAGAUACUAAAGACUAAAAGCCUUCAAAGCUUUAAGCAGAAGUUAGAGCCUUCUAGAUCUCG
rnacentral:tRNA from 1 species